rnacentral:rRNA from 1 species
UCGAGGAUCUUCGGCAAUGGGCGCAAGCCUGACCGAGCGACGCCGCGUGCGCGAUGAAGGCCUUCGGGUUGUAAAGCGCUGUCGAGGGGGAGGAAAGCCGCAAGGUCUGACCUAUCCCUGGAGGAAGCACGGGCUAAGUUCGUGCCAGCAGCCGCGGUAAGACGAACCGUGCGAACGUUGUUCGGAUUCACUGGGCUUAAAGGGCGCGUAGGCGGGUGGACAAGUCAGGGGUGAAAUCUUUCGGCUUAACCGGAAAACAGCCUUUGAUACUGUCCGUCUAGAGGGAGGUAGGGGUGCGUGGAACUUCUGGUGGAGCGGUGAAAUGCGUAGAUAUCAGAAGGAACGCCGGUGGCGAAAGCGACGCACUGGAUCUCUACUGACGCUGAGGCGCGAAAGCCAGGGGAGCAAACGG